GACACAAGGACCUCAAACUCCACCUCCUGACACACAUACUACAAAGCAGAUGUGUGAGCAAACAGGAGGACAAUUCAUUUUCAAGAUGAGAGGAAUUAUACUACUCUUGCUGUUUGGAACUGUUGUGGUAGCGAAACCAAAACCAGCUACAGUUGACAUAUCGGAUAAAAAAGGAGUUAUAUUCUUGAUGGAUAAUAUCCAUGGCUUUAACACAACAACCAACUCAUCAACGGUAACACUGCCAAGCAAAGAACUGGACCAUGCAGAGAAUGGUACUGUGAUUCCAGUUGAAAAUUCUGCUGGAUUUGCUCCAAAAACUGUUGACAAUGAGGACACACAGGGGAAUACAGAAGAGUGAAAAUGACACAGCAGAGGGUUCAACUCAACAGAUCCAAACACAUAUGAAGUCCUAACUGAGUACAGCCAUCAGAAUGAGGAACCAGCAGGGGAUUUCUUCAUCCUGUUAUGCUUCUUCUCCUCAAUAAACAUUUCAUUUGAAACUA
ensembl:lncRNA